rnacentral:rRNA from 1 species
UACAGAGGUCUCGAGCGUUGUUCGGAUUCAUUGGGCGUAAAGGGUGCGUAGGUGGCGUGGUAAGUCUGGUGUGAAAUCCCGGGGCUCAACCCCGGAACUGCACUGGAUACUGCCAUGCUUGAGUACUGGAGAGGAGAUUGGAAUUUACGGUGUAGCAGUGAAAUGCGUAGAUAUCGUAAGGAAGACCAGUGGCGAAGGCGAAUCUCUGGGCAGUUACUGACACUGAGGCACGAAGGCCAGGGGAGCAAACGGG